AUUGAACGCUGGCGGAAUGCUUUACACAUGCAAGUCGAACGGCAGCACGGAGAGCUUGCUCUCUGGUGGCGAGUGGCGAACGGGUGAGUAAUAUAUCGGAACGUGUCCAAUAAUGGGGGAUAACGAGUCGAAAGAUUCGCUAAUACCGCAUACGCCCUACGGGGGAAAGCAGGGGAUCGUAAGACCUUGCGUUAAUGGAGCGGCCGAUAUCUGAUUAGCUAGUUGGUGAGGUAAAGGCUCACCAAGGCGACGAUCAGUAGCUGGUUUGAGAGAACGACCAGCCACACUGGAGCUGAGACACGGUCCAGACUCCUACGGGAGGCAGCAGUGGGGAAUUUUGGACAAUGGGGGCAACCCUGAUCCAGCCAUUCCGCGUGAGUGAAGAAGGCCUUCGGGUUGUAAAGCUCUUUCGCAAGGGAAGAAAACUUAUGAUCGAAUAAAUCAUGAGGUUGACGGUACCUUGAUAAGAGGCACCGGCUAACUACGUGCCAGCAGCCGCAGUAA
rnacentral:rRNA from 1 species